UGCAGCUCAAGUGACAUUGAGGAGAAACCAUGCAAUUAUCCAACUGUACUGACACCAUUAGGGAGCUUGAACUGGAUCCCAGGGCUUGUCAAGCCCUUCAGUCCACUUGAAAACACUUUACAAUUUCUGGCAUAGGUGUGUGAGAAUGAUUUAAUUAUUGAAGCCAUUACUAAAGGGAGGAAUUGAGGAGCUAAAAAUGGGCAGAUACUGCUUCUGCACCAGAAGGGAGCUGGACUGACAAACACACAGGGCUCAUUGCUGAACUACAGAAGUUGGACACAAGCUUUGAGGCCAUGUGGUUGAAUCCAAGAUUCAUCCUCCAUCCCUGGACCAGAGACAUCCACAUGAGCCUUCAUCCUUGGCCUGGUACCAGCUGUGGGGUGAAAUGGAGUUCUUGAACAGGAGGUGAUCUGACAAUAAGUGUAUUUGCACCACAGAUACCUGAUGUAUUACUUCAUCAGCAAAUUCAACAAGGCCAAGAUGUCUUCAUUUUCCUUCAGAGCAAGAGCUGUAAGAGCAGUGUGGUGGAAGUAUUGGUCUUCUGUGGCCAGGCGGUGAGAGCCCAUCGACAGCUGUGAUGAGCAGAGCAGACACGGGAGACAGGAGGCAGCUGAAGCCAAAGAGGACCCACGCCUGGAGCUGUGUCUGUGUGAUUGGAGCAGAGAGAGGCCAGGACCCAAGGAAAUCCCAGCAGCAAGGGAAAAAAACAGAUUGACUCUCAGUGACUCAUUUAGCUCCUGGAUUGGACAGAUCUCUCCCCUGCUGGCAAUUUGGCUGAGCAUCAAUGGACAGAUACCAGGAUGAAUAGCUUAAAAUAAUUAGGGGUUGGGAAUUUGCAAAACUGCUAGCCAUCCAAUUCUUUACUGUGCAAUGUGAGGCAGAAAAAAGAAAUUACAUUUAGGUUAUUAAAUAUUAAGUCAGUGGAUUUACUUCCAUUUGGUGCAGAACAGGAAACUGGCUAAAAUUCAACAUUUAUAUCAUUGUGUUGAUGGUCUGUUUAUCACUGAGCAAGUAAGUGCUUUUUGGCAGGUCAAGCUCUUUGACACAUGGGGCAAAUGCGUGCUUAAUUUCUCCCAAACAGAAGAAUUAAUAUAAUAAUAAUUAACACAGAUGAGAACAGAAUUAAAAUCAAGUACAGUCAGGAGUUUAGUUUAAUGCCAGGUGUCUCACAUUCUAGAUGUUCUGGGGCCAGAUUUUUCCUGUUGAAGGUAGCAAGGGUUUUGCCUUUGGCACUUCUGGGAGCUGAAGUGCGCCUUGCACGUAAAGAGACAGGAUUCCCUGUACUUUCCAUUCAAUGCACAAAACCAGAAGCAACAGGCUCAUUUAGUAUCAGUAAAGGUCAGUUAAAAUUAUAGAGACAUCCUUUGGAGCAAAUCCUCUGUCUUGCAUUUGCAUAUUUAUGAAUUAGAGAUUACGACAGGCUAUUUCAUUUAUUAGAGCAGCACUGCUAUAGUUAAUAGUCUGUCAGUACUUCCAUUAUAAACCCCGUUUUUCAGUGUUUAAUAUCUCAGCCAUUUAAAAUCACAUCAGGAAGCAAGUCAGUCUUAUGUUGCUGGCCAGGUGCAAUUUUUUGUUAUGGAUUACUUUUAAUAAUGAAAUACUGCUCAUCAUAUAUGCAGAUGAGCCACAGCAUUUCUGUUGGAGGGACAUAGCAAGGUGUGUAGUUUCAUUGUGGCUUUGUUUUUCUUUAGGAAAGAAGGGAAAAGAGGGAUUUGACCAAUCAUGUCAACUGUGGCCGUAUGUUUGAAGAAGAAUUUUUCAAGCAACUGCUCUCAGAGGCAAGGCUGGUUCUCAGUGGGAAAUCUGGUUGCUGUUUGCUUUCCAGUGGUGACCAAGGUAAACAGAUGAGGAUGGUUACCCUGUCCCUCUGAU